AGUGAACGCUGGCGGUAGGCCUAACACAUGCAAGUCGAACGGCAGCACAGUAAGAGCUUGCUCUUACGGGUGGCGAGUGGCGGACGGGUGAGGAAUACAUCGGAAUCUACUUUUUCGUGGGGGAUAACGUAGGGAAACUUACGCUAAUACCGCAUACGACCUACGGGUGAAAGCAGGGGAUCUUCGGACCUUGCGCGAUUGAAUGAGCCGAUGUCGGAUUAGCUAGUUGGCGGGGUAAAGGCCCACCAAGGCGACGAUCCGUAGCUGGUCUGAGAGGAUGAUAAGCCACACUGGAACUGAGACACGGUCCAGACUCCUACGGGAGGCAGCAGUGGGGAAUAUUGGACAAUGGGCGCAAGCCUGAUCCAGCCAUACCGCGUGGGUGACGAAGGCCUUCGGGUUGUAAAGCCCUUUUGUUGGGAAAGAAAAGCAGCAGGUUAAUACCCCGCUGUUCUGACGGUACCCAAAGAAUAAGCACCGGCUAACUUCGUG
rnacentral:rRNA from 1 species